AUUGAACGCUGGCGGCAUGCCUUACACAUGCAAGUCGAACGGUAACGCGGGGCAACCUGGCGACGAGUGGCGAACGGGUGAGUAAAGCAUCGGAACGUGCCCAGUAGUGGGGGAUAGCCCGGCGAAAGCCGGAUUAAUACCGCAUACGACCUACGGGUGAAAGGGGGGGAUCGCAAGACCUCUCGCUAUUGGAGCGGCCGAUGUCAGAUUAGGUAGUUGGUGGGGUAAAGGCCUACCAAGCCGACGAUCUGUAGCUGGUCUGAGAGGACGACCAGCCACACUGGGACUGAGACACGGCCCAGACUCCUACGGGAGGCAGCAGUGGGGAAUUUUGGACAAUGGGCGCAAGCCUGAUCCAGCCAUGCCGCGUGCGGGAAGAAGGCCUCGGGUU
rnacentral:rRNA from 1 species